rnacentral:rRNA from 1 species
ACUGACGCAGCCACGCCGCGUGAGUGAAGAAGGCCUUCGGGUUGUAAAGCUCUGUCGAGCGGGACGAAAACCCAGUGGGUGAAUAGCCCAUUGGACUGACGGUACCGCUAAAGGAAGCACCGGCUAACUUCGCGCCAGCAGCCGCGGUAAUACGAGGGGUGCAAGCGUUUGCUCGGAAUUAUUGGGCGUAAAGGGCAGGUAGGUGGUCUGAUUUGUCUGGGGUGAAAGCCUUGGGCUUAACCUGAGAAGUGCCCCAGAAACGGUCAGACUCGAGUCCUAGAGAGGGUCGUGGAAUUCCCGGUGUAGCGGUGAAAUGCGUAGAGAUCGGGAGGAACACCAGAGGCGAAGGCGGCGACCUGGAUAGGCACUGACACUCAACUGCGAAAGCGUGGGGAGCAAACAGGAUUAGAUACCCUGGUAGUCCACGCCGUAAACGAUGGGUACUAGGCUUGGUGGGUCUUGACCCCUGCCGAGCCGGAGCUAACGCAAUAAGUACCCCGCCUGGGAAGUACGGUCGCAAGACUA